rnacentral:lncRNA from 1 species
UGGAGCUUUAAAUAAAGGCCCACUGGGCUUGAGGCUUGAAGUGUCAUGAAGAAAGGCCUUCCACUGUUAUCCUAAAGAGAGUUCAUUUAUAUCUUCAGGGAGAUCCAAGCUGAAAGAGGGGCGGGUGAUGAAAAUUUGAAGGUGAGUGGGGCGAAGGGAGGUAAGGGGAGGCGGAGUAGGGGCUGGGAGGAGACCCCGGGGAUGAAGGGUGCCCGGAUGGGAAGGCAACUUCUGGGAAAGGCCAUCAGCAUCAGAUAAGAUCUUCAAAUCCCAGGGUCGAUGAGAUCCCCAUCUUUGCUCCUCAAGCCUGGUUUCCACACAGCUGGAGGUGCAAAUUAUUUAUUGAUUGUAUUUUUGGCUGCAGCACACAGCCCUGCAGGCACCUUUACAAGCCCUCAGGGUAUGAUUUACCACCUACAAAAAACCCCCAAGAGCACAGUGCGUUCAUGCACACACAAGAAAGCAGCAGGUUCCAAAAGUUAAAAGGAACUAGAAACUACUGGUUCACUAAAUGGUGGUCUUCUAGAUGCUUUUCAGUGCCCGCAGAGAAAUUGAUAUUUCUAUCUCGAGCUGGGCUGUGAGUUCCCCAAGAGCAACACCUCUGUAUUUCUGCAUUGCUGGGACGGCCCUGAGCUAUGCCACACCCGGAUGGCACAAGUUAGGGCCUCAGUAAUGGUUGGGGGUGUGAGUAGAGCCACCUUGGGGUGGGUGGGGGAUUCGCCCUGGUAAAGCAGCAGGAAGGCUGAGGAAAGCACGGGGUUUUCAUGGACAUGGUUUGUCCUGGAGACCGAGGGCUUCAGGGGGACCAGAUGCUCUGAUGGUCUUAGACUAGGGGCGGAAGAUGGGGAAGCGCCCCGCCUGCCAAGGUGUGAGCCACGGCCAUCUCGGCGCUGUCCUCACCUCAGCGGCUACAUUUAGGUUCCUCAGAGUGAGGGCCCCGGGGAGCUUCGCAAUCUCUGGACGGGCUCCCACCACCUGCCGCUCCCAAGGCGGCCUGGAUUCCUCCUGAGUUUCUUUGUGUUUGGGUUUUGGCGUCUGCCGUUGACAAACGUGGAGCGCCCUAAGCUCUCCUGCUGCGGCUGCUCGUCUCUCUUUCUGGAUGUUUCCAACUUGAAAGCUGGAGGGGAUUUUUCUUUUAAUCACUUCACAUUAAAAAAAAAUAUGAAUUUAAUAACUUCCCAGUUUAACAUUUUAUUUUCUAAGGCCUCUGAGUACCCCAGUCUGACAGAAUGCCUAGAAAAAUAAGGUACUUAAUAGACCUCGGUUAAUUGGCAGCCCAUGAGCUUUCUGCUUUCAGACAUUCUCAUUGUUCUCCAGAGGGGACAGGACAUUACUCAGUUCCUCAGAGGACGAGGCCUUCUCCUCUCAGGAGACAACAAUUUUGGAAAGGCAGGGGCCUGGUCUGAUUCGCUUGUACCUUCUUGUCGUUUAGCUGAGCACCAGGCUCACUGAGGACACCAAGCUUGUUAAAUAACAAGGUGCCACCGUCAGCCCUGUGCCACUGGCUCGGGUAGAGGCUGUCUCUGGAGGAGAUUCGGAUGACAUCAGGAGGGCAUUGGCAGCCAUAAAGACCCUGGGGUGCUUGGCAUGGUACAAAGUACACAGGCUUGGGGUUCUGUGGAAGGUUGUUUCCAUGGUGGCCAUCAAAAUCCUGGCCAGUCCUUAGGCCUUGUUGACAUGUGACUUUGUCUCUCCUCUCCUCCAAAGGUGGAGUCCAAGGCCCCUCCCCUGGGGUCUGGGAUGGCCCCUCGUUCUGCUCUGACCAACAGAAGUUGAAGAAGCGAUGUGUUUUCACAUUCAAAGCUCGUGAGGCUUUAGUCUACCUUUGGUUUCCAUUUUUGCUCUCUUGGAGCCCUGAGGUGCCACAGAAAGUCCCUCUAUCCUGUUGGAGAAACCACAUGAGGCAGAGAGAUCCUGGAGAAUGAGGGUCCGUGAGAAUGAGAGUCCAUGAGAGAAGAGAGACCAUUGAGAAUGCAGGUCCUUGAGCAGAGAGGGCCAGGCUGAGGGCAGACCUAUGAGUGAGGCCAUCUUGGAUCUCACUCAUCACAAACCUGAAGCCACCUGCAGAAGCCAUGCAGUGCCCUGGGGGAUAGGGACAAGCAUUCCAGCCGAGCCCCGCCUGUCUAGCCCAGGGACUGUGGGCAAACAAAACGGUUUUUGUUUUAAGCCACGAAGUUUGGGGCUAGGUUGUCAUGCAACAAUAGAUAACGUAUAAACUGACCUAAAUUCUAAUUUCAGUUCUGCACUUUCUAACUGUGUGACUGUGGGCAUAUAGUUUUCAGCCCUUCCCCUCAUACACAAAAUGAAAAUAAUAAUGCCUGCCCAGUAAAACAGCUAGCACAUGUGCUCUGGAGCACCUUGCCACCAACACUGCCUCAUCUGGGCUUGCCCACAAGCCAGGUACAGGGUUGGUCCUGGGUGGCCGCGAACGCACCACGACGUGUUGUUGCCAUCCUCUUCCAUCCCACGGGCUCCAGUGAGGCUGUUCCUUUUCUCUCUGCAGAUGAGGAACCGCGAAACCCCGGAAGCUGGAGUUUGCAGUUAACAGGUCAAGGCCAGGGUCAGAGUGCAAGGCGCCAGUCACGUUUGAGCUGAAGCUAAGAAGGGGCUUGAGCUCCUGGCAGGCAGCGGAGGCUCGGCCACAGAGCAGGUGUGCAGAACCGGCCCUCCCAUUCCCCUCGGCGGGCUCAGUCUCCUGUCUUCAGAGCCCUGAGUCCCCUGUGACCGCUAUCCUCGGGCUUGCGUGCUGCGUGGGCGUCUGUUGCCUCCCACCGAGCCAGCCCUGACCGCGUGUGUAAAUGUAUAUAAACUCCAGGCACACAGAGGGUGUUCAGCACAUGGUCAUGAUGUAUUAAUAAUGUUCGAAUCUUUAAGGUAGAAUCGCGGUUCUCUUUUUUUUAAAUCCUGGACGGAGGGAACAUCCAUCUACUUUUCUAUCAAAAUCUCUGUGCUGCCUUUUCUUUUUUUCUUUUUAAAUGUUUAUUUACUUUUAAGAGAGAGAGAGAGAGAGAGACAGAGUGCAAAUGGAGGAGGGGCAGAAAGAGAGAGGGAGACACAGAAUCUGAACCUCCAGGUUCUGGCUGUCAGCACAGAGCCCAAUGUGGGGCUCGAACUCACUGACCAUGAGAUCGUGACCUGAGCUGAAGUAGGGCGCUUAACCGACUGAGCCGCCCAGGCGCCCCGUAUGUUGCCUUUUCAUGAGGUGUGAUCCGCAUUAACCGGGUGCUCUGAGUCCCAGGGCUGACAGUAAGCUCUUACUAAACUUCACGUGGAGGCACGAGGGGUUUCUCUCUUGAGGCUGCAGCCCAGGGGAGCGAGGGGUGGGCGGGAGGGGUGUUGUGGCUGCCCCUGCUGUGGAAUAAAUCCCCUGCCCCCCGGGGCUCCGCGCUGAGGAAGGGGGAGCGAGGUCCGUGUGUAAGUAGCUCUGGUUCCUGGUGCUUCCUGUGAAUAGAUCACCCAGAAUAGGAUUUUCCAGAUUUGCAGGCUCAGAUGAGAUGCUUAAUAGGUUGGCUGCAGAGCAAGAAUUCUCAACCUCUGGAAAAUAAGGAAUCAUAAUCCUUGGAUAAUAUUUUCCUAAGAGCAAUAAAUUGUGCAUCCUCAUUUGUGUGAAACCCUUAGCAGCGUGGCCUCGGGCAAAUCCCUGAACCUCUGAGCCUCGGCCUUCUUACCUGUGAAAUCAGGGGGCAGUUUUCCCUGACUCUCGGAGUCGCUAGAGAAUUAAGAUCAAGGACACACCUAAAGCACUUGGCAGGUGGCUCACCAUUGGCUGCUUCCAUUUCUUCUGGGAGCACUGGGGUGGCCUGGGCUCUUUUCUUACUGCUUGUUCCGUUUUCUGGACCCAACAUUCAUGUAUAUCUUUUCCCUCCUUCAAAAUUCAAGUCUGCUUUCAUGUUCAUCCAUGGCCACUGGGUUCAGUGACCUGCCUUCCAGGCAGUGCCCCCUGAAGACUGUUUUCCCCUGCUGCCCGCCCUGGGGGGACUUGGACAGCCCCUCACAUUUGGUGCAUCUUGGCUUUGAAGUAGAGACCCAGACACCCCUCAGCAGGCACCUUCCUUUGGCUUCUCUCUGGGGGAGAAGAUUAGCUUUGCAGAGUCAUUAAUUUCUUGCCAAAAUCUUCUUUUUAUGUGUUUCUGGCCAGGGUUAAGGGGAAAAAGGGGGGAAUGCUCUGGAAAGGAACUCUUGUGUUCUGUAUGAACAUGAGCUCAUUAGUUCUGUCCUUAAUUCAAGUGAGAUUUUCAGUAAAGACGUUAGAUGAGACAUCGAGGUUGGGUGAAUCCUAUCUCCCAGGCCCUCACCCCUUUCCCAGACCCUGUCGCACAUCUGCCUAUUGGCUCCACACCAGGUUCUGAAUGUGUUUAUGCUCUUUACUUUUCCCCCUGUAUCAUAAGGUGUUCUCAAGAAAGGCUUUUGGGAAUCCAUUUCUACUCAACUAUAAACUAUCAUUACUGAUGUUCCAAUCAUGGGUAUUACAAUAGGGGAAUAAAUCUUGAAGUCAGAAGAAUAAAUCUCUAAGUGUAGAAUGUUGAUCAUCAGUGGCAAAUUGAUGUUGUUGGACUCAAGAGGGGGUGGGGUGAGGGUGACUGGUCUCACCACUAGAGCCUCUUCUCUUAUCACACGCACUGACCACUGGCUCUACCUUCUGGGGAAGCCUGCUCAACUCACCAGCAAACACUGAGAGCCUGCACUGUGUUCAGUGAGCUGAAAUAUGGUGGUGGGGGGGGUGAAGUCUGUGACCUUGCCAUGUUCCCUUAACCAUGUUCCCACCUCUGGGAGCCCCCGUUCCUACCAUGCGGUGCUUUCCAUUGUCAGGUGCACAGGAUGCUGUCCCACGUGCCUGCUUCUCCUUUUCAUCUCCUCUCCCCCACGUGUCUGUCUCCACUACGAGCCGGAAACCUCUGCAGGGGGUUAUGUCAGGGGCGGAGCUGAGGCAGAACCUGUACCUGUCGGGUCCCAUGAGCCUGGCUGGGAAGGGCCUGUGUGUCUCUGUGAAUGCCACCCAGCCCCAGCGAUCUCUAGCGGGACUUGUGAUGUAGGGUUGACAGUUGGCAAGUUGAGGAGACUUAUUGCAAAUGAGUAGAAUCAUUAAGGUGUCAGUAUCCCGUCUGCGACAGAGGUAAGCAAAUGAAUGUUCCCUGUCUUUGCUGGUAAUUUUUACAGGUUGACCAGUCGUACAUUUUUUUCAUGUCGAUUUAAAGCGUGGUUCUGGAUGGGGAUGAUUCCGUUAAUGUUCCUGACUCUUUCACACCUGGAUUUGAAAAAAGAAGUUAGAAGAAGACUUAAUAUCUGGAAAACAUUCUGAUGGUUCCAUAAACCGUCAGAGCGGUUUUGCUCGUGGAUGGGGAGUAGGGUGAGCAGACUUCUUGGGGUCCACUUCAUACUCCUUGGCUUCCGCUAGGAGGCAAAACUGGGAUUACGUGGCAGUAAUUUGGCAAAACACACCCUGUCGUUCUCACUUUCAUGUUUAAAACGUGGCUUCUCGGUUGUGUAGUGACUAAGGCCCGGUUUGGGGGAGUUUCGUAAAUUGUUGGGCUACCUGGGGUAGGAACCCAUUCAUCACUGAAAACAUGGAGGAUAUCAUAGCUACUGGUUUGGGAGAGAACUUUGAUAACAUUUAAUUUACAGUGUUUUCUGCCUUUGCUAAAUGUUUGUUAAACAAAUACGAGCCCUGCGACACCUGAGGGGCUCAGUCAGUUAAGGGUUCUGCUCUUGGUUUUGGCUCAAAUUGUGAUCUCAUGGUUCAUGAAUUCAAGCCCCACAUUUGGCUCUGUGCUGGUAGUGUGGAGCCCGCUUGGGAUUCUCUGUCUUUGUCUCUGCCCCUCCCCUACUCUCUCUCUCAAAAUAAAUGAAUAAACUUAAAAAAAAGGAAGACUAUUGAGCCCUGCUAUCUCAAAGGAAGCAAUAGUUUACAAAAGGGAGAAUAAUCUUGAAAAAUUGCACGUGUAAUUAUAGUUCAGGAUCUGAAAUUUCCUGAUCAAAACAAAUCUGUAUAAUAGUUUAAAAAUUACAUGCAUCUCCAGCUGUACCUAGUGUUCCAUUGGUUCUCUCUCUCUUUUUUUGUUGUUUGUUUGUUUAUUAUUUAUUAUUAUUAUUUAUUUUGAGAGGAGAGCAUGAGCAGGGGAGGGGCAGAGAGAGAAGGAGAGAGAGAGAGAGAGAGAGAGAGAGAAUCCCAAGCAGGUUCUGCAGUGUAAGCACGUAGCCUGACAUGGGGUUUGAUCUCACAAACAAUGAGAUCAUGACCUGAGUUGAAGUCAUGAGUCAGAUGCUUAACUGACUGAGCCCCCCAGGCGCCCCCCAGUGGCUCUCUCUUUUAAAAAACAAAAAUUUUUAAAAAUAUUUAUUUAUUUUUGAGAGAGACAGAGACAGAGCAUGAGCGGGGAAGGGUCAGAGAGAAAGGGAGACAGAAUCCAGAACCGGCUCCAGGCUGUGAACUGUCAGCACAGAGCCUGACGCGGGGCUCAAACUCGUGAACCGUGAGAUCAUGACCUCAGCCGAAGUCAGACGCUUAACCCACUGAGCCCCCCCCAGGCGCCCCCCAGUGGCUCUCUUAAUGCAGAUUCAGGACAUCUGCCAAGUCCCCCAAAUGAGGCAGGGGGCAGGUCUCCAGGGAGUUCAGGAGCACGUCCACCCAGUGCCACUCGGCCUCACCAUUUUCUCCCUCUCUUUCCAUCUACCUGUUCAAUCCACCUGGCUCUUUGCAGUUCAAAGUCAGCUGCAAACACCAGCGCCCUUUCUCCCUCUGCGCACCGUCAGCUGGAGUUCAAUGUCUGUUUACGACUGUCUGUAAGCUGUCAGGCUCGCUGCCCUGGGUGCUGAUGUUGUAUGGAGUUUUAAGAGAAGGCAGCUCAUUUUGGUUUUACCAUAGCCUCUCUCCUCAGGACUCAGAUGUGAGUCCAUGGGACAUUGGGCCAGAGACAAAGCAAAGGGAAAGAAUCACCUUUUCUCUUCAGCAGCCAAGAUACGGUUACUGGACAGGCUUGUCUUCUGUCUCUUCCUCCAGGAAGGAUGAGUCCUUUCUCCUGAGGCUCCCUGAGCUCCCAGGAAACUAGACCCUGGCAGCUCCUUCCCCACCUGUCUUUAGGCCUGAGGAUUCCCAGAAGCGAGGAUUGCUCAAAGCAGCGGCAGAAAAUUUAGUGGGGGUUGGAGUAAGAAGUGGCCUGUCACUUAGACGGAAGCCGCAUUCAUCACAAUGACAACCAGACCUAAGAUGCGCUGAACGCUCACCACGUGCCAAACCCUGGGCCCAGGGCCUGCAGCGUGUAUCUGCGUAACCACCACCGUGUGCUAGCACAUUCUGUUAUUGUCUCCUUUGCACAGACAGGGCGAGUUGAUGACUGUGAGCGUAACGGCUGUGAUACAGAUACAUACAAGUUGGCUAGGGGAAAGAUCAGGAAAGAUUUUGCUGGCGGAGAUUAUCCAUGAGAAAGCGUAUUUUGACAUGUAGGUUUUAUUGUUAUCCGGGAAUGGUCAGGCCACGGAUAAGGAGACGAUUGUCACCAACAAGAUAGUUCAUUAUGCUCAUAGUCCCCAAGAGGCUUGCUGUGCUACUGAGGGCCACACAGGGAAACACCGGGGGGCGGCCGGGAGGCAGAGUGGGUGAAGGAAUCACAGACAGGAGACUUUAUCGCGGUUUCUGUGGGAACGAAUGGGUGAGGUAGGGCAAGCAGGCUUAGGAUUGGCCAGUUUAAGUAACUCCAGCGGGAAAGAAAGGGGAACACUUUUGCACUGCUGGUGGGAAUGCAAACUGGUGCAGCCACUCUGGAAAACGGUAUGGAGGUUCCUCCAAAAACAAAAAAUAGAGCUACCCUAUGACCCAGCAAUUGCACUACUAGGUAUUUAUCCAAAGGAUACAAAAAUGCUGAUUCAAAGGGGCACAUGUGCCCCAAUGUUUAUAGCAGUGCUAUCAACAAUAGCCAAAUUAUGGAAAGAGCCGAGGUCCAUCGACUGAUGAAUGGAUAAAGAAGAUGUGGUAUAUAUAUGUGUGUGUAUACACACACACACACACACACACACACACAUAUACACAUACACACACACACAAUGGGAUACAACUUGGCGAUCAAGAAGAAUGAAAUCUUGCCAUUUGCAAGAACAUGGAUGGAAGUAGACUGUAUUAUGCUAAGUGAAAUAAGUCAGAGAAAGACAAAUAUCAUAUGAUUUCACUCAUAUGUGGAAUUUAAGAAAGUAAACAGAUGAACGUAAUUGAAGGGAAAGAAAAAUAAAAACAGAGAGGGAGGCAAACCAUAAGAGACUCUUAAAUAUAGAGAACAAACUGAGGGUUGAUGGGGGUGGGGAGUGGGGGGAUGAGCUAAAUGGGUGAUGGGCAUUGAGGCGGGCACUUGUUGGGCUGAGCACUGGGUAUUGUAUGUAAGUGAUGAAUCACUGGGUUCUACUCCUGAAACCAAUACUGCAUGGUAUGUUAACUGGCUUGAAUUAAAAAAAAAAAUAAAGUUAAUAAAAAGAAAAGUAAAAUAAAUAACUCCAGUGGACUCUGGAGUGUCAGAGCUCUCCCUAGCUGUCUGGUACCUGGCCCUGGGGUGAUUAGAACAGGGGUACAGUGGCCCUGGAGGUGAGACCUGCCAGAGGACGUGAGGUGAGGGUAGGUUCUGGACUGGUUAGUUUGCAUAUGACAGGUGCAUUCACAGGCUAGGUGCAGGAAUAGACUGUUUCCAGGAAUAGGCUGGGAGGAGCAGACUGCGGGGUUGGUACAGUGGGGAUGGGGGUUGGGGUGGGGGGCACCUAUCAGGUGAACGCGAGUGUCUCAUCCCAGUGAUGUACCCUCGGCCCCCGCGAGGGGACGCAGGGCGUCCCGUGUGAACUGUCAAUCGGCAUAUUCCCAGCUAUUUGGGGAAUCCAGACUUGGAGGCCUUGAACAAACGCCAACCUCAUGGGACCCAAGUGAGACUGUGAAACUCCCUCGUGCAUUCCCCACAGAGCGGCUCUGGCCGCUACUCCAGCCUCUGCCCCACUCACUGCUGCUCUGGUGGAGGGGUGCCGUGUGAUGGGAGAAGCUCGAGUGGCCCCCCGGGCUAGGGCCCCGCCCCGCAGCCCUGCAUCCCAGCAGCAAGGCCACCUGCUGAUCCCUCGCUUCUGACACCUUCCUGCUCUCGCCACUGAAUGUCAAGGUUUAGGGACAGAUGGGGCCCGUUCCCAUGUCAGUGAUUCCUUUCAACUUAGUGUGUGUGCAUGUUUGGGCACGAGGUGGGGGGCGGAUCUAGAGCCUAAUCAGAAAUUAUGACUUUUUCUUUCCAGGGAGACACAGCAGAGCUGACGACGUGGCCAACAACACGAGGGGAGAGCGUGGCUGGGAGGCGGCCCUGAGCCCAAGCGCGGUUCCCAUCGAGUCACAGCCUCCCAAGCCGCGAGGGCCAUGCUUACGGCUUGCCACUUGGGCCCCAAAUGCUGUCUAGUUGCCUUUCUGUCACCUGACUUUGAGUCACUUUUCUGUUCUUUAUCAGCCUUCUCCAGAGUACUGAAUGGGCAGAUAAAAGAGGGAAUGUAAAUUGCUCAAUCGUGGUAUUUUAAUUGAGAGGUUUAGGGGAAAUAUCUAGGUUGUUUAUGAAGUUCGAUCUUCUGUGUCGUUCACCCCCUCAGAAUCGUGAAAGUUUUGCUGGGCUGGGUGAUUACAGAACUGAAGAAUGUUGAGGGCAGAAAGAUACCUGGAGCCCAGCGAACCCAGC